UACGUAGGGGGCAAGCGUUGUCCGGAUUUAUUGGGCGUAAAGAGCGUGUAGGCGGCUUUGUAGGUCCGCUGUGAAAACUCGAGGCUCAACCUCGAGCUGUCGGUGGAAACCGUAAAGCUAGAGUCCGGAAGAGGAGAGUGGAAUUCCCGGUGUAGCGGUGAAAUGCGCAGAUAUCGGGAAGAACACCCGUGGCGAAGGCGGCUCUCUGGGACGGUACUGACGCUGAGACGCGAAAGCGUGGGGAGCGAACAGG
rnacentral:rRNA from 1 species